rnacentral:rRNA from 1 species
UACGUAGGGGGCUAGCGUUGUCCGGAAUCAUUGGGCGUAAAGCGCGCGUAGGCGGCCCGGUAAGUCCGUUGUGAAAGUCAAAGGCUCAACCUUUGAAAGCCGAUGGAUACUGCCGGGCCGGAGUCCGGAAGAGGCGAGUGGAAUUCCUGGUGUAGCGGUGGAAUGCGCAGAUAUCAGGAGGAACACCAAUAGCGAAGGCAGCUCGCUGGGACGGUACUGACGCUGAGGCGCGAAAGCGUGGGGAGCGAACAGG